rnacentral:lncRNA from 1 species
GGGGAGCCACCUUGUGACGCCCCUUCUGCCUCUCACCAGCUUCCCCCUUUCUCCCCGUUCUGUACGGUUCCCCCUGGAGCCAGAAGGAAGCCCGGUGCCAGCCAGCCUUCCUGAAAGACCAAGCCCGCGCCAUCCGGCUUCCUCCAGUGGACGCCUGCAGGACCCAGGAACACUACAUCAACACUCUUGGCGGGGACCUGGACACAGAAGACUCCUGUUUCAAGAAAAUACAAUCAUCUCUCAAAGGCUGUAAUUUAUAUGCAUUUUAAAACUCUAGGCAUUGAAAACCACCCAAGUGUCCCAAAUAGAAGGGUAAUAUAUAAUCAAUCACU